rnacentral:rRNA from 1 species
CCUACGGGAUGCAGCAGUGGGGAAUAUUGGACAAUGGGGGGAACCCUGAUCCAGCGACGCCGCGUGAGUGAAGAAGUAUUUCGGUAUGUAAAGCUCUAUCAGCAGGGAAGAAAGAAAUGACGGUACCUGAUUAAGAAGCCCCGGCUAACUACGUGCCAGCAGCCGCGGUAAUACGUAGGGGGCAAGAGUUAUCCGGAUUUACUGGGUGUAAAGGGAGCGUAGGCGGUUAGGCAAGUCUGAAGUGAAAGGCGGGGGCCCAACCCCCGGACUGCUUUGGAAACUGUAUAACUGGAGUGCAGGAGAGGUAAGUGGAAUUCAUGGUGUAGCGGUGAAAUGCGUAGAUAUUAGGAAGAACACCAGUGGCGAAGGCGGCUUACUGGACUGUAACUGACGUUGAGGCUCGAAAGCGUGGGGAGCAAACAGGAUUAGAUACCCUUGUAGUC